rnacentral:tRNA from 1 species
GCAGUGGUGCUUUAGUGGUAGAAUUCUCACCUUCCGAGUAGGAGACCUGGGUUCGAUUCCCAGCCAAAGCA